rnacentral:rRNA from 1 species
GACGAAUGCUGGCGGCGUGCUUAACACAUGCAAGUCGAACGGACAGGCCCUGCUUGCAGGGUACUCGAGUGGCGAACGGGUGAGUAACACGUGGGUGAUCUGCCCUGCACUUCGGGAUAAGCCUGGGAAACUGAGUCUAAUACCGGAUAGGAGCCAUUUUUAGUGCGAUGGUUGGAAAGUUUUUUCGGUGUAGGAUGAGCUCGCGGCCUAUCAGCUUGUUGGUGGGGUAAUGGCCUACCAAGGCGGCGACGGGUAGCCGGCCUGAGAGGGUGGACGGCCACAUUGGGACUGAGAUACGGCCCAGACUCCUACGGGAGGCAGCAGUGGGGAAUAUUGCACAAUGGGCGCAAGCCUGAUGCAGCGACGCCGCGUGGGGGAUGACGGCCUUCGGGUUGUAAACUCCUUUCGCUAGGGACGAAGCUUUUGUGACGGUACCUAGAUAAGAAGCACCGGCUAACUACGUG